rnacentral:rRNA from 1 species
CGGGUGAGUAACACGUGGGUGAUCUGCCCUGCACUUUGGGAUAAGCCUGGGAAACUGGGUCUAAUACCGAAUACACCUUGCUGGUUGCAUGACUGGUGGGGGAAAGCUUUUGCGGUGUGGGAUGGGCCCGCGGCCUAUCAGCUUGUUGGUGGGGUGAUGGCCUACCAAGGCGACGACGGGUAGCCGGCCUGAGAGGGUGUCCGGCCACACUGGGACUGAGAUACGGCCCAG